rnacentral:tRNA from 1 species
GGGGUUGUGGCUCAGUGGCAGAGCACUCGCCUAGCAUGUGUGAGGCACUGGGUUCAAUUCUCAGCACCGCA